UUCAGUUUCUAUGAAAUCAAU
rnacentral:piRNA from 1 species